AUGGUGCCUCUGUUCAGACUGCUGAUGGACCGUCAGAGCAAGAGGGUCAUUGGAACUGGCCAUCGCCGUAGAGGAUCCACAUCCCUCUACAUCCUUGACACCUUACACCUUCCUUCAGCUUCCACCACAUCCGCGUUCCGGAUGGUUGCAUCAACAUCAAGAUCCACUUCGUCGUUUUCUUUUGCCCAGUGGCACCAUCGCUUAGGUCACUUGUGUGGUUCUCGUUUAUCUACCCUUGUUCGACAAGGUGUUUUGGGUCAUGUUUCCAUAGAUGCUGGUUUUCACUGUAAGGGUUGUAAGCUAGGGAAACAAAUACAGCUUCCAUACUCUUCCAGCACUACUCAUUCUAGUCAUCCUUUUGAUUUAGUGCACUCUGAUGUAUGGGGUCCUUCCCCCUUUGUUUCAAAAGGUGGCCACAAACAUUAUGUCAUAUUUGUUGAUGAUCACUCCCGACAUACUUGGGUCUAUUUUAUGAAGCAUCGUUCUGAGUUGUUUUCUAUAUAUAAGGCUUUUGUACAUAUGGUCCAUACUCAGUUUUCCAGUGUUGUUCGUGUUUUUCGUUCUGACUCCGGGGGGGAGUAUCUAUCUACUGCUUUUCGCGAGUUUCUCUCAUCUGAGGGUACUCUCCCUCAGCUUUCAUGCCCUGGUGCCCAUGCUCAGAAUGGUGUUGCUGAGUGUAAGCAUCGCCAUAUUGUUGAGACAGCUCGUACCCUUCUGAUUUCUUCCUUUGUCCCCACUCAUUUUUGGGGUGAAGCUAUCUCAACUGCUGUUUAUCUUAUCAAUCUCCAACCUUCUACUCGCCUUGAGGGCAAGUGUCCUGGUGAGGUUUUGUUUGGUUCUCCUCCCACGUAUGACCACCUCCGUGUCUUUGGUUGUACUUGUUAUGUUCUUUUAGCACCUCGUGAGCGUACCAAGUUGACUGCUCAGUCUGCUGAGUGUGUCUUCCUUGGAUAUAGUCUUGAACAUAAGGGCUACCGUUGCUAUGAUUCUUCUGCUCGCCGCAUUCGCUUUUCUCGCGAUGUCACUUUUGUUGAGGAUCAACCCUUCUUCUAUUCCCCUUCCACUAAACCAUCAUCCUCAACUUCUUUAGAGUCUACCUCGUUUCUUUCACUUCCACCUAUCUUUUUAGAUGAGUCCAUAGCUGAACAACCUUCCUCUGUCCUAACAUCAGAACCAUCCCCACCACAUGUUUCAUCUCCUUCCUCACCAGCUCCUUUCUCUCUUCCACUAGCUCCACCUCUAGAUAGUCUUCCUUUCCAUUACACUCGUCGUUAUUCUACUCCUCCAGCCAGUACUUUCCAUUACACUCGUCGUUCUAAAGUUCCAUGUGACACGCAGUCAUCUAUGCCUUUGUCUUCUACUCCUCCAGCCAGUACUACUGAUCCUUGCACUGACGGCUCUUCUCUAGCAACGCGAUACAAGAAGGACUUGUAUGCAGGGGUUGUUUCUGAGCCUAGUACCUAUCAGGAGGCAGUUGUGUCACCUGAGUGGCAACUGGCUAUGUCAGAGGAGCUUGCAGCCUUAGAGCGUACUGGUACAUGGGAUUUGGUACCAUUACCUCCUCGUUCAGUCCCUAUCACUUGCAAAUGGGUGUAUAAGGUUAAAACCAAGUCAAAUGGUUCUGUGGAACGCUACAAGGCUCGCCUUGUUGCAAGAGGUUUUCAGCAGUCUCAUGGGAAAGAUUAUGAUGAGACGUUUGCUCCUGUUGCUCACAUGACUUCAGUUCGAACUCUAAUUGCUGUGGUUGCUACUCGGUCAUGGAAAAUUUACCACAUGGAUGUGAAGAAUGCCUUCCUUCAUGGUGAUUUACAUGAGGAGGUUUAUAUGCAGCCACCUCCAGGUAUCAAGGUUCCAUUAGGUCAUGUUUGUCGUCUUCGAAAGGCUCUUUAUGGGCUUAAGCAAGCCCCUCGUGCCUGGUUUGAGCGGUUCAGUUCUGUGAUUCAAGCUGCCGGUUUUUCUCCUAGCGAACAUGACCCUGCACUCUUCAUUCAUACAUCUGAGCAUGGCCGUACAUUGCUUCUACUUUAUGUAGAUGACAUGUUGAUCACUGGAGAUGAUGUUGGGUAUAUUGAUUUUGUUAAGAAAAAAUUGAGUGAACAAUUUAAGAUGUCAGAUUUGGGGUCUCUCAGCUAUUUUCUCGGGAUUGAGGUUGAGCACACCGAUGAUGGUUACUAUAUCUCCCAGCAAAAGUACACUCAGGAUUUGAUUCUUCGCUCAGGUCUCACUGACACACGCAUUGCUGCUACACCUAUGGAGCUUCAUCUGCAGUUGCGUCCUACUGAUGGCACUCCUCUUGAGGAUCCCUCUCGCUACCGUCACAUCGUCGGCAGUCUAGUGUACCUCACAGUGACCAGACCUGACAUCGCACAUGCAGUCCAUAUUCUCAGUCAAUUUGUCUGUGCUCCCACCUCAGUUCAUCAUGGUCACCUAUUCCGAGUCCUUAGGUUUAAGGGGAACUACAUCUCGCCGCUUGUUCUAUGCUAA
rnacentral:rRNA from 1 species